rnacentral:rRNA from 1 species
UAGAUACCCUAUUAUUGAGAUCAUAAAAUCUAAGGUAGUAGUUGCUGUAAUCUUGAAACCUAAAGAAUUUGGCGGUACCAAAUUAAAUCAGAGGAACCUGUUUAUUAAUCGAUAGUCCACGCUGCUUCUUCCUUUUUAUAAGCUUGUAUACCGUCAUCCAUAGAAAAUUCUUUAGAAAAAUUCUCGUUUGUAGAGACACAUAAGUUAGAUCAAGGUGCAGCAUUUAAAAGCAUUUAAUGGGUUACAAUUAAGGUCAGAUUGGAAUCCUUACUUAAAAAAGGAGAAAACCGGAUUUGAAAGUAAUUCUAGUUCAAUAAGCUAGAAUGAGUAGUUUUUAGGUAUGUACACAUCGCC